rnacentral:misc_RNA from 1 species
UCAAACUUGGUCAUUUAGAGGAAGUAAAAGUCGUAACAAGGUCUCCGUUGGUGAACCAGCGGAGGGAUCAUUACCGAGUUUACAACUCCCUAACCCACUGUGAACAUACCUCAAGUUGCUUCGGCGGGAACGCCCCGGCGCGCCCUCCGCCCCCCGUCCGCGGGGGUCGGGGUGCCCAGCCCGGAACCAGGCGCCCGCCGGAGGUCACCAAACUCUUGUCUUCAGUAUAUUCCUCUGAGUGGCAAACGCAAAAUAAAUCAAAACUUUCAACAACGGAUCUCUUGGCUCUGGCAUCGAUGAAGAACGCAGC